rnacentral:sRNA from 1 species
AGCCUAAACCAUCGAGAAAUCGGCGGCAUGGCAAAAGAAGUCCCGCAAAGACAUAAAGAACCCAUCAUAUGGGGUUGUCUUUGCGGGCCAUAUCGGGAAACCGAUAUGAACGGUUUCGGCCGUU